GAGGAAAGUCCGGGCUUCAGCGGGCAGGAUGCAGGCUAACGGCCUGUCGGGGCAACUCGAAGGAAAGUGCCACAGAAACAUACCGCCGACGGCGCGAGCCGCCGGUAAGGGUGAAAUCGUGAGGUAAGAGCUCACGGAGGCCUACGGUGACGUAGCCUCGCGGUAAACCCCAUCCGAAGCAAGACCGCUCGAUACCUGUCGCUUGCGGCAGGCGGGUCGCCCACCCGGCUCGAGUUACGUCGCAUCGAGGCGCACGGUGACGCGCGCCCCAGAGAGAUGAUCGUCGCCUGCACGACCUGCAGGUACAGAAUCCGGCUUA
rnacentral:RNase_P_RNA from 1 species